rnacentral:misc_RNA from 1 species
CAAUAGCAUACACACCGAGCACUUGAAGCAUGGGGGCUUUGCGUAUGGGAUCGUGGAUAUUAGGUUGGUUGUACACCGCGGAGGCAGGUGGCGGUGCUUCACAUGGGUAAGCUGUGUCUCUCGGUGGUUGUUGGUAAGCAGCACCUCCAUAACCGUCAGUGUUUUGCGGUAGUGCUCCAGCGGCAGGGUAACCCGUAACUGGGUCGUUCAUAAGUUUUACACUGAAUGGAAUGCAACAGUAAG